GUCUUAAUUGGGCGUUAAGUUGCAGGGUAUAGACCCGAAACCCGGUGAUCUAGCCAUGGGCAGGUUGAAGGUUGGGUAACACUAACUGGAGGACCGAACCGACUAAUGUUGAAAAAUUAGCGGAUGACCUGUGGCUGGGGGUGAAAGGCCAAUCAAACCGGGAGAUAGCUGGUUCUCCCCGAAAGCUAUUUAGGUAGCGCCUCGUGAAUUCAUCUCCGGGGGUAGAGCACUGUUUCGGCUAGGGGGCCAUCCCGGCUUACCAACCCGAUGCAAACUGCGAAUACCGGAGAAUGUUAUCACGGGAGACACACGGCGGGUGCUAACGUCCGUCGUGAAGAGGGAAACAACCCAGACCGCCAGCUAAGGUCCCAAAGUCAUGGUUAAGUGGGAAACGAUGUGGGAAGGCCCAGACAGCCAGGAUGUUGGCUUAGAAGCAGCCAUCAUUUAAAGAAAGCGUAAUAGCUCACUGGUCGAGUCGGCCUGCGCGGAAGAUGUAACGGGGCUAAACCAUGCACCGAAGCUGCGGCAGCGACACUGUGUGUUGUUGGGUAGGGGAGCGUUCUGUAAGCCUGCGAAGGUGGCCUGUGAGGGUUGCUGGAGGUAUCAGAAGUGCGAAUGCUGACAUAAGUAACGAUAAAGCGGGUGAAAAGCCCGCUCGCCGGAAGACCAAGGGUUCCUGUCCAACGUUAAUCGGGGCAGGGUGAGUCGACCCCUAAGGCGAGGCCGAAAGGCGUAGUCGAUGGGAAACGGGUUAAUAUUCCCGUACUUGGUGUUACUGCGAAGGGGGGACGGAGAAGGCUAUGUUGGCCGGGCGACGGUUGUCCCGGUUUAAGCGUGUAGGUGUGUGUUCCAGGUAAAUCCGGUUCACUUUAACACUGAGGCGUGACGACGAGGCACUACGGUGCUGAAGCAACAAAUGCCCUGCUUCCAGGAAAAGCCUCUAAGCAUCAGGUAACAUCAAAUCGUACCCCAAACCGACACAGGUGGUCAGGUAGAGAAUACCAAGGCGCUUGAGAGAACUCGGGUGAAGGAACUAGGCAAAAUGGUGCCGUAACUUCGGGAGAAGGCACGCUGACACGUAGGUGAAGUGAUUUACUCAUGGAGCUGAAGUCAGUCGAAGAUACCAGCUGGCUGCAACUGUUUAUUAAAAACACAGCACUGUGCAAACACGAAAGUGGACGUAUACGGUGUGACGCCUGCCCGGUGCCGGAAGGUUAAUUGAUGGGGUCAGCGCAAGCGAAGCUCCUGAUCGAAGCCCCGGUAAACGGCGGCCGUAACUAUAACGGUCCUAAGGUAGCGAAAUUCCUUGUCGGGUAAGUUCCGACCUGCACGAAUGGCGUAAUGAUGGCCAGGCUGUCUCCACCCGAGACUCAGUGAAAUUGAACUCGCUGUGAAGAUGCAGUGUACCCGCGGCAAGACGGAAAGACCCCGUGAACCUUUACUAUAGCUUGACACUGAACAUUGAGCCUUGAUGUGUAGGAUAGGUGGGAGGCUUUGAAGUGUGGACGCCAGUCUGCAUGGAGCCGACCUUGAAAUACCACCCUUUAAUGUUUGAUGUUCUAACGUGGACCCGUUACCCGGGUUGCGGACAGUGUCUGGUGGGUAGUUUGACUGGGGCGGUCUCCUCCUAAAGAGUAACGGAGGAGCACGAAGGUUGGCUAAUCCUGGUCGGACAUCAGGAGGUUAGUGCAAUGGCAUAAGCCAGCUUGACUGCGAGCGUGACGGCGCGAGCAGGUGCGAAAGCAGGUCAUAGUGAUCCGGUGGUUCUGAAUGGAAGGGCCAUCGCUCAACGGAUAAAAGGUACUCCGGGGAUAACAGGCUGAUACCGCCCAAGAGUUCAUAUCGACGGCGGUGUUUGGCACCUCGAUGUCGGCUCAUCACAUCCUGGGGCUGAAGUAGGUCCCAAGGGUAUGGCUGUUCGCCAUUUAAAGUGGUACGCGAGCUGGGUUUAGAACGUCGUGAGACAGUUCGGUCCCUAUCUGCCGUGGGCGCUGGAGAACUGAGGGGGGCUGCUCCUAGUACGAGAGGACCGGAGUGGACGCAUCACUGGUGUUCGGGUUGUCAUGCCAAUGGCACUGCCCGGUAGCUAAAUGCGGAAGAGAUAAGUGCUGAAAGCAUCUAAGCACGAAACUUGCCCCGAG
rnacentral:rRNA from 2 species